ACGUUUGUAGGGUAACCUGCGGAGAGAUCAUUA
rnacentral:rRNA from 1 species